rnacentral:siRNA from 1 species
UUAGUGAUUUCAAUCCUCAA